UGCAAUCUACCUUUCACAGAGGGAUAGCCCAGAGAAAUUUGGAUUAAUACCUCAUAGUAUGCAGAGUUGGCAUCAACACUGCAUUAAGGUCACAACGGUGAAAGAUGAGCAUGCGUCCCAUUAGCUAGUUGGUAAGGUAACGGCUUACCAAGGCAACGAUGGGUAGGGGUCCUGAGAGGGAGAUCC
rnacentral:rRNA from 1 species